CGGGGUGUAGCGCAGCCUGGCAGCGCACCUGCUUUGGGAGCAGGGGGUCGGAGGUUCAAAUCCUCUCACCCCGACCA
rnacentral:tRNA from 1 species